CCAACCCGAUCACCAGACACAGUAACUGUAACUGUAGCGGUUCUUGACAUCGGAGAAAAAAAGAUCUAGCCUACAGCAUGGCCCAAAAACUGUUUCUGGUCCUUGUGGUUUUUCUGGUUGUUGGUGCGCUGAUUGGGGAAUCAAUUGCGGAUGAUGGUGUUAUCCUGUCUGAACUGUCCAAUGCCCCUGCAGAAGCACCAGAGGCUGUAGCCCACGAAGGACACCUUCGCGUGAAGCGCGGCGGAAAAUGGAAACGCCGUUUGAGAAGGCUCCGGAAUCAUGCAAAACCAGUGGUGAAAGCGGUCAUUACAAAAAUAGCUACAGAUGGAGCUAUAGCAGCACUCGGAUAAAUGGAGAAAAACUCACCACGGAAACUCGGGAAAGUGACACAUACUGUACACACAGGUCUUGUGCACUUGGUGUAUUAAGACAGUUGGUGUGUUCAUUUUUAAUGGUACCAACUAAACCAAAAGCCAGAAUAGAUCUGCUGUUUGAUAACUUGAACCAUCCACCUACCUCUCAUUAGUUUAACAGUGAAAUAUAUGCAAAUAUUAUACUAUAUCUAAUGGCCGUUCAAUAUAAUUUUAUAAUGAGUCAAUAGAAAUGUUGGGUAAUAAGGAUCAAAAGAGUAAGACUGAGGACUGAAGACUGAGGACUGAAGACUGAAGAGCAUUGUCUGCUCUGUAACUGUGAGUUGAUGUGAAGGGCUGAAAAAAGGAAAGGAAUGUACAACAUUUUAAAUAAAUACAUAUU